GAGGAAAUAAACCACCUAUUUUCCGUCCCUUUCCUCGGAAGCAUAGAAUUCAUGUGCUUGAGGCUCCUGGUGACAUUGAGCCAACUCAUUCCAUCUGUGCUGCUGACAGCAGGGCUCCUGCUGAAUUUGAGCCAAAUUCUUCCACCUGUGCUGCUGUCAAUGGGGCUCCUGCUGCUGAUGAGCCAACUACUUCUUCCCAGUGUGCUCCUGACUGUGAGGAUCCUGCAGUCAUUGAGCCAACUCAUUCCACCUGUGCUGCUGACAGCAGGGCUCCUGCUGAUGCUGAGCCAAAUUCUUCCACCUGUGCUGCUGUCAAUGGGGCUCCUGCUGAUGUUGAGCCAACUACUUCCCAGUGUGCUCCUGACUGUGAGGAUCCUGCAGUCAUUGAGCCAACUCAUUCCACCUGUGCUGCUGACAGCAGGGCUCCUGCUGACAUAGAACCAACUCCUUCACAACUUGCUCCUGACAGGGGUGCUCCUGCUGAUGUUGAGCCAACUCAUUCCACCUGUGCUGCUGACACCAGGAUUCCUGCUGACAUAGAACCAAGUCCUUCACAAUGUGCUCCUGACAGUCCUGCUCCUUCUGAUAUUGGUGAGGAACCCAGUCCUGUUGCUGACCUAGAUGAAGAUAUAGCUGAGGAUUUUUAUGACGCUUUAGAGUCAGCUGAUCUCACUGGCCAUAGCGGGUCCACUGUCCAGGUACCUGGUUUUCUUUGGGAACCAGAUAUGCUACUGCUGCCAGUAAUGCCCUUGAUGUGGUUUCUUACAUUCCUGUUAUCAAUGAUGAUGUGGAUUAGAAAUGGAAUUCGCAAGUGUGCUAUGAAGAAAAUGGCCAAGGACCUCCCUCCAAGAGAAAAGAUAAACCCGGUAAGGUGGACCACAGUAGUUGCUUAAAAUAGAUGAACUUUUAUUUUAGAUAGAAAAGUAGAUAUCUUUGAUACUAAUAGUCAUGAUUAAUACAUUUCAUGCUAUUUGAGCAUUACCUAGAAUCAGAAAACAUUGUUUCCUUUUCCCAACUUAUUGAAAAUACUUCACAUAGUGUAACAAAACCAGUUUAGACCAACACAACUGACCAUGGUACUUGGUUGUCUCCCAUCCUGGAAUGAGGUAAUUUUUUUUCACUCCCAUUGAAAACAUUAGUGUCUGUUAAACGUUGGUGUCUAUUUAUCUCUGCUCUUCUGAACUCUGACUUGUGAGGAUAGUAUCAGCCUGGAAACAAACAUUCCAAAGGAAGCAACAUCUGAGAAUAAAAUUAACAAAACAAGCCUUCACCUUCUCACUGUUUCUCA
rnacentral:lncRNA from 1 species